UGGGGAAUUUUGGACAAUGGGCGAAAGCCUGAUCCAGCCAUGCCGCGUGAGUGAAGAAGGCCUUCGGGUUGUAAAGCUCUUUUAGUCGGAAAGAAAGAGUUGCAAUGAAUAAUUGUGAUUUAUGACGGUACCGACAGAAAAAGCACCGGCUAACUACGUGCCAGCAGCCGCGGUAAUACGUAGGGUGCGAGCGUUAAUCGGAAUUACUGGGCGUAAAGGGUGCGCAGGCGGUCUUGCAAGUCAGAUGUGAAAGCCCCGGGCUUAACCUGGGAAUUGCGUUUGAAACUACAAGACUAGAGUGCAGCAGAGGGGAGUGGAAUUCCAUGUGUAGCAGUGAAAUGCGUAGAGAUGUGGAAGAACACCGAUGGCGAAGGCAGCUCCCUGGGUUGAUACUGACGCUCAUGCACGAAAGCGUGGGGAGCAAACA
rnacentral:rRNA from 1 species